rnacentral:rRNA from 1 species
UACGUAGGGUGCAAGCGUUGUCCGGAAUUAUUGGGCGUAAAAGAGCUCGUAGGCGGUUUGUCGCGUCGGCUGUGAAAGCCCGGAGCUCAACUCCGGGUCUGCAGUCGAUACGGGCAGACUUGAGUGUUGCAGGGGAGACUGGAAUUCCUGGUGUAGCGGUGAAAUGCGCAGAUAUCAGGAGGAACACCGGUGGCGAAGGCGGCUCACUGGCCCGAUACUGACGCUGAGGCACGAAAGCGUGGGGAGCAAACAGG